rnacentral:tRNA from 1 species
GGGCCUGUGGUCUAGCGGCUAUGACAUCACCCUUACACGGUGGAGGUCGCCAGUUCAAAUCUGGCCAGGCCCA